AUCCCCAUAGUGCGGGAGUUUGGAGAUGUGUUUUCAGCGGAGCUUCCAGGAAUGCCACCUGAUAGGGAGAUUGAAUUUGUUGUAGAUAUCGUCCCUGGGACUACGCCAAUCUCAAAAGUACCCUACAGGAUGGCACCAGCUGAGUUAAAAGUGCUGAGGGCACAAUUGCAAGAUCUUUUGGACAAGGAUUUUGUGCGGCCGAGUGUUUCACCUUGGGGAGCACCGGUUCUAUUUGUUAAGAAGAAGGACGGAUCACUUCGCUUCUGCGUGGACUAUCGUGAACUUAAUAAGGUCAUGAUCAAGAACAAGUAUUCGUUGCCGAGGAUCGAUGAUCUAUUUGAUCAGCUUCAGGGAUCAAGUGUGCAUUCCAAGAUCGACUUGCAGUCGGAAUACCACCAGUUAAGGAUCAAGCCCGAGAAUGUAUCGAAGACGGCUUUUAGAACACGGUAUGGACAUUAUGAGUUUACAGUUAUGCCGUUUGGGCUUACUAAUGCCCUGGCAGCUUUUAUGGAUUUAAUGAACCGUGUUUUCAAGCCUUAUCUAGACAGGUUCGUCAUGGUGUUCAUUGACGACAUCUUGGUAUAUUCCCGAAGUGAUGCGGAUCACGAGGAACACUUGAGACUUGUACUUCAAGUGCUUCGGAAAAAGAAACUCUUUGCCAACUUGAAGAAAUGUGAGUUUUUGCUUAGAGAGGUGGCGUUUUUGGGCUAUUUGGUUUCGAGAUUAGGUAUAGCCGUGGAUCCUAGGAAGAUCGAGGCAAUCAAGGAUUGGCCGAGGCCGAUGAGUGUUACCGAGAUACAGAGUUUUAUUGGUUUGGCCGGCUACUACCGACGGUUUGUUGAGGGGUUUGCAAAGUUAUCUACUCCUCUCACGAGGCUCACGCAUAAGGGUACCAAGUUCAUUUGGAACGAUGCGUGCGAAAGAAGCUUUCAAGAGUUGAAGCAGAGAUUGACGAUCUCUCCGGUCCUAACCUUGCCAAUUGCUAGAGCAGGGUAUGUGAUUUAUAGCGAUACUUCAUUUAAUAGAUUCGGCUGUGUUUUGAUGCAGGACAAGAAGGUGAUCGCGUAUACUUCUCGCCAAUUAAAGGAUUAUGAGAGAAACUAUCUUACACAUGAUUUGGAGUUGGCGGCCGUAGUCUUUGCAUUGAAGCUAUAGCGCCAUUAUCUUUAUGGCGAGCGAUGUGAAGUAUAUACGAAUCACAAGAACUUAAAGCACUUAUUUACUCAGAAGGAGUUGAACUUGAGGCAGCGAAGAUGGUUGGAGCUACUCAAGAAUUAUAAUUUAACGAUUCUCUACCACCCGGAUAAGGCUAAUGUGGUGGCAGAUGCGCUAAGUCGGAAAUCAACGAAAAACUUAGCGAUGUUUAUGGUUACUUAACCGCCGUUGAUCGAGCAGAUGAAGCGGUUGGAGUUGGAGGUGGUGACUUCUGACACGCCUUUGAGGUUGAUGAUUUUGGUAGUGCAACCUACACUUUUGGAAAGGAUUAAAGAAAAGCAAAUUCACGAUGUGGAGUUGCAAAGGAUUAGAGCUAAAAUGGUUGAUGGUUGCACCGGUGAUUUCACUGUGGAGAAUCUUGGAUUGAUGCGUUUCCGCUGGCUGAUUUGUGUACCGGCGGAAUCGGCACUUUAAAAGGAUAUUCUUCAAGAAGCACACCGUGCACCCUAUGCUACACAUCCAGGAGGCACCAAGAUAUACAAGAACUUAAAGUUGCUAUAUUCGUGGCCCGGGAUGAAAAAGGAUGUUGGCGAGUUUGUUGCUAGAUGUUUAACUUGCCAACAGGUAAAGGCUGAGCACCGAGUUCCCGCCGGAAAAUUACAGAGCUGACCGAUUCCAGUGUGGAAAUGGAAGAAGAUCACCAUAGACUUCGUGAUGGGAUUGCCUCGCUCACAGGCCGGGCAUGAUGCUAUUUGGGUGAUCGUGGAUAGGUUGACGAAAUCAGCUCAUUUCUUACCUAUUCACACUACUUGGACUGGUGAGAGACUCGCACAGGUAUAUCUUGAUUAGAUUGUACGACUGCACGGGGUACCUAUUUCUAUAGUUUUGGAUCGAGAUCCUCGUUUUGUAUCUCAUUUUUGGAGGAGCUUCCAGGAUGCCUUGGGCACACGCUUGGAUUUCAGUACAGCUUUCCACCCUCAGACUGACAGGCAGUCAGAGCGCACUAUACAGACUCUUGAGGAUAUGCUUCGAGCUUGUGUGAUAGACUUCCAGGGAGGAUGGUCGCAAUAUCUACCGAUGGCAGAGUUUGCUUAUAACAAUAGUUAUCAAGCAAGCAUCAAGAUGACACCAUUCAAAGCACUCUAUGGAUGGAAGUGUAGAUCGCUAUUUCAUUGGAGUGAAGUUGACGAGAGAUUGGCUUUAGGCCUCGAUGUGCUCCAGGAAGCAGAGGACAAGGUUCGCAUUGCUCGGGAGCGAUUGUUGACAGCCCAGAGUAGGCAAAAGAGUUAUGCUGACAAGCGUCAACGGGACUUGGAGUUUCAGAUUGGAGAUCAUGUCUUCUUGAAAGUCUCGCCGACCAAGGGAAUUAGAAGAUUUGGGAUCCGGGGUAAGUUGAGCCCCUGAUUCAUUGGACCGUAUGAGAUCUUGGAUCGUGUAGGCCCGGUAGCGUAUCGGCUUGCUCUACCGUCGAACCUAUCGGGUGUACACAAUAUUUUUUAUGUAUCGGUCCUUCGAAAGUACAUCCACGAUCCGGCUCACGUUUUGGACGCUACACCAUUGGAGCUGAGGGAUGAUUUGAGCUUUGAGGAGCAACCCAUGAGGAUUUUGGCUCGCGAGGUGAAGAAGCUGCGGAACCGUGACAUUCCGUAUGUGAAGGUGCUUUGGAGCAACCACGAUGCACGCGAGGCCACGUGGGAGUUGGAAACUUGUUUUCUCCUUUUGAUCCAUGAUUUAGUAGAUUUCAUGAGAUGAAACCCCAGAAAUGGAAAUUUAGGGUUUAUAUUGGGAAUUUUUGAUUUUAGGCUUUUGGAUCUCAAUUAAUUGGUUUAGAACCUUUGUUUAGGUCGGAUUUGGAGAGAUCUUACUCUCAUUUGGGAUUUAAAAAGGGUUUUUUACACUAUAGGUGAGUUUUGUCCCUUUUCUUGAGAUGUUUAAUGUUUAAUUUAUGUGUUGUUUGUAACGUUCGUGUAACUCUCCUUUUAUUAUCUUUAGGGUGCUAGGAGAAUAGUGGGCAACUUCGUUCGGCGAAAUGAAAGGGUUGCAAAGAGACUUGGUGGGUUUGGCCUCACCAAAAUGAGAUAAAAUUCUCAUUUGAUGGUUAUACUUGUCGUAAAAUGAAACUUCAUGCAUAUUCAUGCUAGAUAGAAUAUUUAUGAAUUUUAGAAUGCUUAAAAUGCACUUGUCAUGUAUAAUGCAAAUUUGGACCUCUAUGUAGUAGAGAAUUAUUCUUGUUGGAAUCAUUCAUUUUUGUUUAGCAUUCUUAUGUAUGGCUUGGGAUUACAUUGGAAAUGACGAUUGCAAUAUGCUAUUGAAUUUAGAACUCACGUUGAUCUAAGAGAUGACAUAAUGCCAUAAAGGGGCAUUGGAUGUAUAUGAGGUAUGAUAUAGUAAGCUAAUGUUAUAAAGAGGCAUUGGGCUUGACAUAUGUUUGGGCUUAGUAAACCUAAUGUCAUGAAGGGGUAUUAGAUGUAGUAAUUGGUUGAACCUUUACUUUGGAACAUUGAACUAGAAUCUUGGGUUGCUAGUGGCUAUUACCAUGUUAGAGACAUGAUGAUCGGGUUCUUGAGACGAUGACCAUACUUGCUUGCCAUUUGUCCUCAUUCGCACAUGCUUGUGAGGGUCGCUUCCUACAAGCCGACACUUCGGAGUUAGCCUACGUGACUUAUGAUCGCUCGUGCGGUAUUGAGAAGCCUACGGGGCCGGAUGGGAUAGACUCAUUCCUCGAGUGGGAAUGCUGGGGCUACCACGGGCACUUAGGCGGCACAAGCUGGACUACCUUGUGUAAGUCCUUAAUUGGAAAUGAAAAUCGACACGUAGUCAUGCAGUAACAAUCACUACUAGACAGUUCAUAUUAGUUGGAUUUAUUGGGCUUUUGGACAUGUAGUAUACUUGAUAGUAUUGCUUAUUGCAUUAUAGCAUACUUGUUUGCCAUAUUGGAGCAUACUAGUCAUGUAUUGGUUUAUUGGACCAUGAUAGAAUAGAGGUACACCAUGUUGACAUCAUGUAUACUUGUGGCAUUGUAGAUUAGCAUUUCAUUACAUGCUUUUCAUAUUCGCAGCUUACUAGUAGUUUCUUUCAUCUCCUUAUGCUUUUGGGCCUAGUGGUGCAUUUUGCUCAGGUCAGUAAUUGUCCACUGGGAAUUAUAAAUUAUAGUUCUCAUGCCCCUGUUUUAUGUUUUCUUUCAGAGCCUUCCAUUCCAGGAGAGGCUAGGGACCGCGGCAAGGGUGUCGCUUCGAGCUAGCGAGCGCGGAGGUCUUGCUAGAUGGAUCAUUUUCUCCUUUUAUUUUAGUUGGAGAGAAUGAGAGCAUUUUGUAUCCUUCAUAGAGACUACCACUUAUGAUAUUGUAGUACUUGUAUUUGAGACAGUUUGAUGUAUUCACUCUUUGUUUUAUCUUAGUUGUUAGUUUCCUUUCUCUCAACUUGUUGUUAGAAUUUAGCUGCUAUUUGCUCUGAUAUCUCUAGAUACUUGUUUAUUAUUAUCAUUUAUCGCUAUUGUUGUAGACGCCUUAUAUGUGCAGGCAUAUGACGGGUCUGGGCAUGCUACCAGGAGGGCCUCUGCCGCUCCCGGGGCGUGACACGAAGUCCCCGCACAAAGCAAUCAGCUUGAUUUUUGUCAUCCCGUAUCACGUUCGGGACACAAUUCACAAGACGGGAAAACUCCCACUCAUAUUCCCUGACCGAGCGGUCUUCUUGACACAGCUUCCGGAACCUCUCGUGAAGCGCUCUUCUUUCACUGUCGGGGAAAUAAACAGAAAAUAUUAAUCCCCGAAACUCUUCCCAAGCCAUAGGAGGGAGACUAGGCGAUCCGUUUCGCUUGACGUCUUUCCACCAUACCUUCGCCGACUGUUGCAGACAAUGCACGGCUAGGUGUAUCUUGUCCCGCUCCACAGUAUACAGGUCCUGAAAAAAAGUCUCCAUGAAGUCAAUCCACACUCCACGGUCCACGGAUCUACAUCCUCUCUAUCAAAGGUAGGCGGAUCAAAUUGCUUGAAAGUCAUGAGGGCCGCCAAGGCUCGCUCCUUCUCCGCAUCCACCUCUAAAAUACUAGAAGUCGGAUUGCCCAACCCCGACGGAAACGUCUCCGCCGUGACUCUCGGCCGUACUCAACGGGCCGCAACUGGUGCAGUCACCAGCUGAUCCACCGUUUCCUAGAGUCUCAUUAUCCGCUCUUCCUGGCGCAUGGCAGCCUCCUGCUGUCACUACACCAAAUUGGCUUGCCGCUUCGCCACUCCCACGAGUGUGGCCAACUGCUCGCGAAGUUCCAAGUCUCCGCUCGCCUCGGACUGCUCAGGGAUACCACUUGUCCCAUCCCGCAUCGAUCUGGAUGAAGGUCACCUACGUGGUGCCAUCGUUUCCUGAAACACGACAACUCGAUAAAUUCUUGACCUUCUGGGUCGAACACGAAAUAACCAACUAUUAACACCAACUUAAAUCAGGCGAAAGUCAUGCAAAGGCGUCUAUUCUCAUCACUCAGUUUUACGUUGUCGCGCGCCAACAUGAACACACUUAGCUGAGAAUACACCGCACCUUGAGUUUACCUCUAACAUCCGUUUUAGAGGUUUACAACAUAACCCAAUCCAUUAACCUUUCGCCGCAAGUCACAAGUCCUCGUCUCUCACGAGCCUUAACCUCUAUGGUUUACUAUCCUAGAGUCUCCUAGGUCCAUAUAAACCAUUUUCUAUUAUUCUCUUUAUGCUCUGAUACCAUUCAAUCUGUCACACCUCGAGACUCGCCUAUUUGGUAGGAUUCGGGCACGCCAACAGACCGCCGAACGGACAGAGUCUCCCCUGUACGUUCUAGGCAUCACAAUCCAUACAAUUCACGAGGUUCCAACCAAGAACAGAAUUUAAACACAGAUUGCAUAACGAAGGUAUCGAAAAUAUAAAUACAACUAUACUAUUACAAGCAUUCACCACUUUUAAUUUACAUAUUACAUUUUGUUUCUAACUUCCAAAUACAAUCAACAUUAUUACAAGUUUGUCUCAUUCUUUCUAUACCCCUAGCUAGACCACUUGGGAUACUGCUUUCUCUGGUCUCGGUGGUAGGGCGCUAUCUACGGAGCUACGCCCUUUUCUCGCGCCGCUGCGCCGCUCGCGUGUGAACCUGAAAUCCCCCAAAACAACGUAGGGUGAGAACUAUGUCCAUAGUUCCCAAUAGGUACGGCCACCCAAGGGAAAAGUUUGACCCACCAGGUUCAAAAGAGGCACUGCAAUCAAGUUAGUCCAACAGAUAUUUAUGCAAGUAUUAAAUAGAUGCGUAUGCUUCACAAAUGCAACUAUGCAAAUUAUGCAACAAUGCAACAAACUAAGUAGAUCAACCGAUUCUACUUUCUAUCUCGCUAUCCAGCUCAUAUCCAACUAACUUCUAAGGUUUCCUCUACCUUAAAUUAUGUCAUUUACCACUUGCUCUUAAGGUUUCAUCUACCUUAAUCAAGCUAUCCACCCAACUCGGCCUCGAGUCAAUCAUCCGCGGAAUACCGCAUAAAGCCAAGCUCGAGGUAAAGGACGUCUCACAAGCACCUCGGCCUCAAAUCCACCCGACUGUAGGUCCACCACAGGGUGAGGAGAACCGUCGAACCCUGGACCAUAAGUCGCUCAAGCUCAACAAGCGAGGAGAACCAACAUACCCGUUCCGAGCUCAUACCGGGCGAGGAGAAGCAACAUACCCGCAGUUCUGAUUCACUUGCUGUUUGAAUGUAAUAAAAAAAUGGACGUGCUAGAUUUAAAUUUCGAAAUUCAAAUGUGGCUAAGUCGAGUCCAAUUCAAGUCCAGCUUGAAUCCGAACCUAAGCUCGAAAAUAACCCACCCUAAAUUUAUCUGCAUAUUGGUGGACCCCUAUUAUUAUUAUUAUUAUUAUUCUCUCACAUAAAAAAAAAGGGUGGGGUCCACAACAAAAAAAAAGGGGUUAGUUGAGAUGCACAAAUCUCUUUUCAUAUCUCAUACAUAUAUGAAAGAAGUGUGGGGCCCACAAUUAAAAAUAUAUAUACUAAUCCUAUCAUAUCUCCUAUGUGGAGCCCACAAUUCAAAACAAAAAAAUUGGAAAAAAGAUGGUGCACGUGGGGAAAUGCGACAUAAUUAAGAUGCCAUGCUGAACAUGAUUAACUGGUUUCAUGUGGCACCUUAAUGGUUAUAUUUUAUUUAAAUCAUUAAAAUUGAUUUAAACUGACGGUUAAACUUAGUUUAAAUUAAGAUGCCAUUAAUUAGUUUCAUGCUUUAUUUAUUUUUCUCCUUUUUUUUAAAAAAAAAAGAAAGAGAGGAAAAAAAAGAAAACUGUUUACGAGAGAAAAAAGGGGAAAACUAACUACCCACACCCAUCACGUAUAAAAAAAAAAGAGAAAAAAGAGGAAAACUAACUACCCACACCCAUCACGUACAAAAAAAAAGAGAAAAAAGGGAAAAACUAACUACCCACACCCACCACGUACAAAAAAAAAUCGCCCACUUAUCCACUAANAAAAAAGGGGAGAAUUUUUAGAGGUUGUUAGAGAUUGUUGGAGGAUUUUUUAGAAAGGUUGUUAGAAAGAUAAACUACUUUGGCAAAACAAAAAAGAGAGAGAAACAAGGCUCGUUCAAAAAAAAGUACAGAUAUCCAUUCAAAAAAAAAAAAGAAAUAUUUUUUUUUCUUCUCUUCCUCACAAAAUAAUAAUAAUAAUAAUACUCGCGUCCUCCCUCCAUCCCUACAUCAACGGCGGAGCUUCAUCGGCAACCAUAGCGGAGAUGAUGUGAAGCCAACGAUCCUCCGUUUGGCGCUUAGCCGUCGGCGGAAGAGAAGAAUAGCCUCCAUCCAUCUCUACAUCGGCAACAACGGCGGAGCUUCAUUCGCUGGUGCUUAGCCGUCGGCGGAAUUAACGGCGCAUCGAUGACCAUGGCGUUAUUAACGGCGUAUCGACAACAACGGCGGGGCUUCAUUCGUCGGCGCUUAGCCGUCGGCAGAAUUAACGGCGCAUCAACGACCAUGGCGGAAUUAACAGCGUAUCGACAACAACGGCGGAGCUUCAUUCACCGGCGCUUAGCCGUUGGCGGAAUUAACGGCGCAUUGACGACCAUGGCGGAAUUAACGGCGUAUCGACAACAACGGCGGAGCUUCAUUCACCGACGCUUAGCCGUCGGCGGAAUUAACGGUGCAUCGACGACCAUGGCGGAAGUAACAGCGUAUCGACAACAACGACGGAGCUUCAUUACCACGACGGAGACGACGUGAAGCUGACGACUUCCGUUUGGCGCUUAGCCGUCGACGGAAGUAAUGGCGCAUCGAUGACAUCGACGAAAGUAACAGCGCAUCGACAAUAACGAUGGAGCUUCAUUCGCCGGCGCUUAGCCGUCGGCGGAAUUAACGGCACGUCGACAACCACGAUGGAGAUGACGUGAAGCCGACAAUCUUCCAUUUGGCGCUUAGCCGUCGACAGAAUUAACGGCGCAUCGACAACCAUGACGGAGAAGACGUGAAGCCGGCAAUCUUCCGUUUGGCGCUUAGCCGUCGGCAGAAGAGAAGAACGGCCUCCACUCAUCUUCCGCGCAAAAUAACAUGUGUAUUACGUGCACAAGCUCCCUCAUAUGCAUGCAAAUUAAGGAGAUGUACAUUAAUUAUGAUGAAUAGAUAUGUGGCUGCAGCUUGUAUUGAUAAAGUAAUUGCUUUGGUUCUUUGCGGAUUCGGCAAUUAAUUACGAUGUAGCCGCAGCUUGCAUUGAUAAAAUAAUUGCUUUGGUGCUUGAUGGAUUCGGCAAUUAAUUAUGAUGAAGCCGCAGCCUAUAUUGAUAAAGUAAUUGCUUUGGUGCUUGAUGGAUUUGGCAAUUAAUUAUGAUGAAGCCGCAGCCUGUAUUGAUAAAGUAAUUAUUUAGGUGCUUUGCUGAUUCGGCUUAAUUUCCAAGUCUGAUUCUGCUUUGAAGUCUUUCAUGCGACGACGAUUGAGGAUCGAAACUUUUUGUCGUUAAAAAAAAACAAGAGAGACAUAUAUGUACAUAAUCAGUUUAAUUUGGUGAUCGCCAUGAACACUGCGCCGUUGCCGACUAUAUUAAUUAAUGCUCGUAUUGAUAAAUAUUGCAAAAAGGAGGCGAGGAAUUAUUAUUAUUGUUACUCUAAGAUGGGAGGACGGGAAGAAAGAAAAUAUUGUUUAUUUAUGAUUAUUCAUUAUGUUUUGAAUUAAAAUUCAAAACCUUAAAUUAUCUGAUUUUUUGGAACUCUUUUAAAAUACAGAUAUAUACUACGUAUAGUAAUAGUAGUAGUAUGUUAUAUAGUUAUUAUAUAUUAUAUAUGUAGUAUAUAUAUAUAUAGUAUAUAUAUUAUUUAUUUAUUUAUUUAUAUAUACACACACACACACACAAAAGGAGGAUUUAUCUAUGGAUUUGAAACUCAAAUUUAAAACGUGAUUUCAAAGUGUCUUUGAAAUUUUCUGUUGAAAUCUCAAGUUUGAAUAAGUUGUACGGGCCUAAUCUUAACACUGUAAACCCAGUCCAAUUAUAUCUCUGGAUGGGCCAAGUUCAUGUCCAAGACUAAAUAUAAACCCAGCCUAAUUAUAUCUUUGAAUGGGCCUAAUUAAGUUCUUGUCCAAGACCAAAUAGAAACCCAACACAAUUAUAUCUCCGAAUGGGCCCAGAUUCAUGUCCAACACCAAAUAUAAACCCAGCCCAAUUAUAUCUUUGAAUGGGCCUAAGUUCAUGUCCAAGACCAAAUAGAAACCCAACACAAUUAUAUCUUCGAAUGGGCCCAAGUUCAUGUCCAACACCAAAUAUAAACCCAGCCCAAUUAUAUCUCCGAAUGGGCCCAAGUUCAUGUCCAACACCAAAUAUAAACCCAGCCCAAUUAUAUCUCCGAAUGGGCCUAAGUUCAUGUCCAAGGCCAAAUAUAAACUCAGCCUAAUUAUAUCUCCGAAUGAGCCCAAGUUCAUGUCCAAGACUAAAUAUAAACCCAACCCAAUUAUUUAAUUCGGAUUGAUCCAAGCUGAACCCAAUCUUUAAUUCCAAUCCAAUCCAAAUUUGACAAGCCAUAUAUGAAACCUAUACCAUAAUAACCAAAUCAAAGUCCAAACCUAACCUCAAACCCAAGUCAUGCACAACCUAAUCCAACCUCCAUACCGGGUCCUUAGAAACAAACUAUUCCAAUCACAACCAUAUUCAAACUCGAUCAAAUUCUAAAUAUAUGCUUAGAAUUGAUCAAACCAUCUUUUUAUCUUAGUAUAUAUGACUAAGGUAAAAAUAAUGAAUUAGGUUUCACCUAAUCAAAUUAAAUCGAUUGGACUCUAAUUCAUAUACUUAGAGUUCAAGCAAAGAAAACCAAGUUAGACUCUAAUAUGUAUAAUUAGAGUUUAAUUUAAAUCAAUUUUGGCUAAUCCUAAUACAUAUAUUUAGUAUUUAGCCAUCCUUCACCUUAGAGUGAACUCAAAUAUAGUUUGACUCUAAUAUACAUACUUAGAGUUCAAUUAAAUUAAUUAGACUCUAAUAUGUAUAAUUAAAAAAAAAGAGAAACAAAAAAAAGCAUAAAAAAAAAAGAGAAAAGAAGAACAAAAAAAAAAGAAGAAAAUCUUUUGUUCAUCCUCCCUUUACUCCUACGCGCCAGCAGCAACAAAGGGAGGUGUGCAUGUGACCACACCCCCUCUCCAAUCCGUACACCAAAAAAAAAAGGGGGCUUUGACUCUAACGACAAUGCGACGGCGACGACUUCGAUGAUGGCGCGACAACGACGACUUCGACAACGACAAUCACAACGAUUUCUACAAUAAUAGGAGAUACGCAUGCAUAUGUAUAGCGUAAGGGCGAUUUUUUUUGUUGGUUUGAUCAACCCAACCAUCUUCGUGAUAGGUUUCGAACCAAUCAAAUCUGACAUCAAAUCGUCACUUCCGCCGUGCGUAUGUAUUGUUAAUCUCCAAACCGUGCGGCCAUCUUCGUGAUAGGCUCGACAUGGUCAAAAUGGAUGAUCUAGCACCAUUUAUUUUGUUACGAAAACCGUGCGGCCAUCUUCGUGAUAGGCUCGACAUGGUCGAAAGCGUAAACCGUGCGGCCAUCUUCGUGAUAGGCUCGACAUGGUCAAAAGAAUUAAUCGAGCGGCCAUCUUCGUGAUAGGCUCGACACGAUUAAACUCCGCGUACUUGAACAAAACGUGGUUAAAAAUGAUAAUAAAAAAUGGACGAGUACGGUUGUUGUUCGCCAUCUUCGCGAUAAGCACCGUCAUCUUCGUAUUGCUCGACGUGAUCAAUGUUGUAUAUUUGGACUAAAAAAAAAAGAAGAUAAAUAAACAAAACAAAAAAAGAAGAAAACAAAAAUAAAGGUUGGGUUUCCAACACUCUCUCCCCCUCUGACAGUCGACAAAAAAAGAGAAAGGAUAAAAAAAAAAAAGGAAAGAAAAGUUGCUGGUAGUACCCCUCUCUCCCUCGGUUUCGUGCACACAGUCACACACAGAGAAAGGGAGGGAAAAAAAAAAAAAGAAGAGAGUUUUUAUUUCUCUCGGUCACAAAAAAAAAAGAAAGGAAAAAAAAAAGAAAAAAAAAAAGAAAGAAAGAACACAAGAACAAAAUUUGAAGUAUUGGGUUUGAAUUAUUUUGAAAAGGCUUCAACUCAUCAUGGGCCUAAUGAAGAAACUCUAUAAGCAAAAAAAUUCGGGCCCACAACCUGUAGAGCCCGAAAUCCAGCCCACAUACAUACCCGGGUCUAAGGUCCAGAACAUUAAAGCCCGAGACUAGUCUCAGCCCCUAUGCAGAUUUGGGCCCAGACCAUGUAAAGUCCAAGACUGAUUUCAGUCCACAUGCAGAUUCAGGUCCAAGGCCCAAAACAUGUAAAGCCCGAAAUCCAGCCUGUAUGCAGAUUUGGAUUCAAAACCAAUAAUAAAAAAAAAAAAACCCAGCCCGCAUACAGAUUCGGGUCCAGAAUAUUAAAGCCCGAAACCUGUCUCAGCCCACAUGCAGAGUUGGGCUCAGAACAAACAAAAUCCCAAAAAUCUCAUAGUCCACAAAUAAAAUCACAAAGAUUCCAAAGUCCACAAAUAAAAUCCCAAAAAUCGCAAAGCCACAAAUAAAAAUCCCAAGAAUCCAAAAUCCCACAAAUAAAAUCACAAAAAUCCAAAGCCCACAAACAAAAUCCCAAAAAUCCAAAAUCCACAAAUAAAGAUCCAAAAUCCAGAGAUCCAAAAUCCAAAGUCCAUAAAUAAAACCCAAUCAAAUCUACCAAACCUAUGUUAUCUAAAUACCUCCAACCCAAGUCGAAUUCAUGGGCUUUCCAAAUGGGGCCUUUAUUAUGAAUUAAUUCUAUGAAUUAGGUUCCUGGGUUUUCCAAAGGCCCCUCUAUCAUGAAUUAAUUCGACAAAUUAAUUUUAUUGGUUUGCCAAAUAGGCCCUUUAUCACAGAUUAAUUCUAUGAAUUAAUUUCAUGGGCCCUCCUUGUCAUAGAUUAAUUUCAUGAAUUAAUGGGCCCUCCAAAUGACUCCUUAUCAUAAAUUAAUUCAAUGGGCUCUCCAAAUGGCCCCUAUCAUGAAUUAAUUUCAUCAAUUAAUUCAAUGGACGUUACAAACGGGCUCCUAGCAUGAAUUAAUUUCAUGAAUCAGCUUCAUGAACAUCUCGAUUUCAAACGACGAAACGUCGCUAAACUAAACCCAAAUUUCAAACGACCGAAACGUCGCUAAACUAAACCCAAAUUUCAAACGACCGUAACGUCGCUAAACUAAACCCAAAUUUCAAACGACCGAAACGUCGCUAAACUAAACCCAAAUUUCAAACGUCCGAAACGUCGAUAAACUAAACCCAAAUUUCAAACGACCGAAACGUCGAUAAACUAAACCCAAAUUUCAAACGACCGAAAAGUCGUUAAACUAAAUCCAAAUUUCAAACGACCGAAAAGUCGUUAAACUAAACCCAAAUNNNNNNNNNNNNNNNNNNNNNNNNNNNNNNNNNNNNNNNNNNNNNNNNNNNNNNNNNNNNNNNNNNNNNNNNNNNNNNNNNNNNNNNNNNNNNNNNNNNNNNNNNNNNNNNNNNNNNNNNNNNNNNNNNNNNNNNNNNNNNNNNNNNNNNNNNNNNNNNNNNNNNNNNNNNNNNNNNNNNNNNNNNNNNNNNNNNNNNNNNNNNNNNNNNNNNNNNNNNNNNNNNNNNNNNNNNNNNNNNNNNNNNNNNNNNNNNNNNNNNNNNNNNNNNNNNNNNNNNNNNNNNNNNNNNNNNNNNNNNNNNNNNNNNNNNNNNNNNNNNNNNNNNNNNNNNNNNNNNNNNNNNNNNNNNNNNNNNNNNNNNNNNNNNNNNNNNNNNNNNNNNNNNNNNNNNNNNNNNNNNNNNNNNNNNNNNNNNNNNNNNNNNNNNNNNNNNNNNNNNNNNNNNNNNNNNNNNNNNNNNNNNNNNNNNNNNNNNNNNNNNNNNNNNNNNNNNNNNNNNNNNNNNNNNNNNNNNNNNNNNNNNNNNNNNNNNNNNNNNNNNNNNNNNNNNNNNNNNNNNNNNNNNNNNNNNNNNNNNNNNNNNNNNNNNNNNNNNNNNNNNNNNNNNNNNNNNNNNNNNNNNNNNNNNNNNNNNNNNNNNNNNNNNNNNNNNNNNNNNNNNNNNNNNNNNNNNNNNNNNNNNNNNNNNNNNNNNNNNNNNNNNNNNNNNNNNNNNNNNNNNNNNNNNNNNNNNNNNNNNNNNNNNCUUCAUUCUAGCACAUAUAACUAGAGUGAAACUCGGUUAAUCCUGAUACAUAUACUCAGGAAUUAGCCACUCCCUACUUUCGGGUAAUUCGACCCACCUCAAUACAUAUACUUGAGGUCUGGGCAUAUCUCCAUCUUGGAACAUAUAACCAAGGUGGACAUAAUCGGACUCUAAGACAUAUACUUAGAGCCAAUUAGACUCUAAUACAUAGAGUCUAAGAUCAACUAGGUCUUAACACAUAUACUUAGGAUCUAGUCAAUCUCAAAUCCAACUGAAUCCUAAUACAUAUACUUAGGAUUCAAUAAAUCAAAACUUCUUCGCUAGAUUGGACAUUUAGUCUGAUAAAAUUCAUGUACAGUGGGGGUAUGCCCCUGCUUAAGCCAUGUAAAUGGCAAAUCAUAUCGAUAAAAUUUUAUUUGCCUAUUUUGUCUCUUUUAUUAUCAGCAUUUAUAUUUGGUCUCUUAAUCGAGGGUUUCUUAACACCGAAAGUGUGGGGUAAUUAACAACAGAUUCUUGAGUCUGUUGGAAGCCAUGAACCUAUAAUCCUGAUUUUAAAAUAAAAUAUAAAUAAAUUUUAUCUCUACCAUGUAUGACCACUCGUCCUAGAAACAACCUACGGCGGGGCCGGUUCGUUCGCGGCAGACAGCGUGCAUCUGAUUGAGCGGCUUGGAGUCAUCUGCACGCGUCUAAGCCAAUUCGGCCCUUUGGCUUAACGAGCUUGCUCUUUAGCAAGCCACUUUUUCAUAUUUAGCCAUUCUGCUUCUUUUCUUGAUUUGUUUGGUUAUGACAUCUUCUACAUCAAUUUUCACAACUAGAUAUCAAAUUAUCUAGUUCUAAUUACUAGGGGUGGUCGGUGUCUCUACAACUUUUAUUUGAUCCUCUAGACUUGACAAAUUAUAUUGAUGAUACUAGGCCUCCUGCUGAUGAGAAGAAACUCAAAGAGUUGAGUAUUGUUGACAGACAUACUCGUGGAAAUAUCCAUAUCCGUAAGCCACCGUUCACCAAAAACCUCACAUUCUUCCAUAGGUCAUCUCUUCUUUCGCAUGGAUUUUUUGGUUUUGCUCAACUCUUUCUGUUGCUGCCUAGUGCCGCUCUGCUCCUGUUGCUGCCCAGUGCUACUUGGCUCUUGCUGACCCUGGGUGCCACUCGGCUCUUCAUACUGACGCCUCGUGCCGCUUGGCUCUUCAUGUUGUCGCCCGGUGCUGCUCGACUUUUCUUGCUGUCUUCUAGUGUUGCUCGGCUCAUCCUGCUAAUGCUUGAUGCCACUCGCUCUUCCUGUUGUUUUCUGGUACCACUCGGCUCUUCCUGCUAAUGCAUGGUGCAGCUCGGCUCCCUAUUGUUGUCUGAUGCUGCUCGGCUUUUCCUGCUGUCUCUUGAUGUCGAUCGGUUCAUGAGCUACAUUCUAAUCUCUUGCAAUCAACAUCACUAUAAACUUUCAUUCUUUUCCAUGCUUGAAAGGCAAAAAAAAAUGUAUGUUAUUUAAUUUUAUGUUUUGAAGUAAAUAUUUAAAAUUUUUGAAUUUUAAAAGGCAGAAACAAAGAAAACAAAGCUUAACUAACUAAUACUAUGAUUUAAAAUAAUUACAUGUUGAUUACUUUACUAACCUAAAAUUUAGGAAUCAAGUACUAUAUUGGUUGCAUCUCUAGCAAUAAAAGUUAAUGAGGGCUUCUCUUCACCGUCGACAGCGACAAUGGCAGUGCUAUUGCCAACGCUACUAAGGAUAGUGCUUUCACUUUGAUUAAGUUUUUUACAUUUUUCAAUGGUAAAUUCUGUGUUGAUGAUGAUAGAAAAAUAUUACUUACCUUUCUUAAUAUUAAAUCAUGAGCUUUUCUUUUUUUAACUAGCUUAUUCAUUUUUAUGAUUUGGUUUAGAUUUUUUCAGCAAGAAAAGUAAGAACCAUUAUUUUAGUUCCAUUCUUUACUUUUAAAUUAUUCAACAUAGAGAUAUAAGUUCUACUCGAUUUAUCUAUUACACAUUUGAAUUAUCAUUGUAAGUUAAUCUAUACAAAACUAUUAAUUCCUGUGGCUUCUAACCAACGUGGCAGAAUUCUGUUGAAUUUGGGCCCACAUAGCUUUCAGUGUUAUUAUCACCUCCUCCAUCCUUGCUAUUGAAUAUUAGGCCCCCCUCUAUCAGAUACUUCCUCUCAUGUAUCCGGUUUAUCUCCCAGUGUUGUCUCUUCACCUUUCCAUUUACCUUCUCAUUUAAUAGACUAAUCCUUUCAUCUUCCAUUUACCUUUCGAUUUAAUCAAAUAAUCUCCCCACCUUCCUAUUUAAUAAAGUAAUAGCAUUUAUCUUUCCAUUUAAUAGAGUAAUCUCCUCACUUUUUCAUUUAAUAGAGUAAUAGUGGAGAAAACGAGAACGCCAUGCCUUUCAACAGGCAUCCUUCCAAUUUACCUUCUUCUUUCCCAAAGUCUAGAACUGUACCGUUUACUCUCCUAAUGCCAUGGGCAUAAUCGAUGAAGCCCUUCGACCCCCCUCCAUUACAUCAUACACGUCGUCGAUAAGGUAGGUGAUGGUAUCGGUGUUGUCGACUUCCACCCCUCUCCAAAUCUCUCUCUCUCUCUCUCUCUCUCUCUCUCUCUCUCUCUCUAUAUAUAUAUAUAUAUAUAUAGGCUGGGAAUACUAUACUCUUAUGAGUAUAGACCCUCUUGUACUCAUAAAUUUUUAACCGUUGAUUGAUGGGAUGUGUGGUUAGGAUGAUGGUGGUCUCCACUUAAAAUGAUAGUGGUCCCCUAGGGUUGAGUGGGUAGUUGGUUAAAGAGUAUGAUCUAAUGGAUGAAAAUGAUUAAUGGAAUAAAUCUAAGGGUCGAAAACUUAUGAGUAUAAAGGAGCCAAUACUCAUAAAAGUAUAGUAGCUGGACUCUAUAUAUAUAUAUAUAUAUAUAUUAAAGUACAAUAAAAGUUGUUGUUUAUUAUAUUCUUCAUGUGCGAAUCUUUUUAAUGAGAUAAUUAUAAAAAUGCUUUAAACAAUUGUGGCUAUGAUGUUUACUCCACAUAUUGCAUCUUCCUCUUUUCUUUUCUUUUUUUUUUUUCCUUAGUUUACUUUCUUGGCAUUCGUUGCUUUUUUCUAUUCAUAUUAUGUGUCCAUUUAAAUCAUGUAUAUUAAAAUUAUUUUUAAGUAUAAUUCUCUAUAUUAAUUAUUAUAGUCAAUAUUGAUUUGUUGAUAUUUUAUUUUCUAUUAAUAUUUUAUUUUUAAUUAUAUUGGUAUUUUAUUAUUUAUUAAUUUUAAUUUUAAUAGUAUUUAUCCGCCGCAAAGCGCGGGUCACUUCACUAGUUAUAAUUUAAUUAGAAAUCUAACCAAAUUGUAAUAAAAUAUUUCAAUUUUGGCUAAGCACACCAACUGGGAUGUUUUUCUUUUUUAAGAAAUGAACAUGCAUUGUGGAGAAUAUUUUCUUGCUUACUGCUAUCUACAGGUGCUGCUACAGAAGCUUACAUGGAUAGUCAAAUAUAUGCUUUCUUGAUGAAGAAAUAGAGAAUAAAAAUUAAGGUUUGAUUUCUUCAACCAAUGUAAGAAAAUAAAAAUGAAUAUUAUAUAUUAGAAGUUUAGAUGCUUCCAAUUUUUGCUGACAUAUUGUGUUCCUUUUCUUUGCUGCUAUUAACCUAUAAGAGAAUAAUAUCGUUGAAGCUUUGAAGCUACCAACUUUUACUGAUAUAAUUUAUUUUUCUCUUCUCUAUUAUUAAUGCAAACCAUGUCAUUUCCAGAAUGGUUAUUAUCUUGAUUAUAAAAUGCAUAACAAGCCUGUCGUCAAACUCUAAUCCAAACUCUUUAAUAGAAAAUGCAUUUAGAAAAUCUAUUCUUCUUGCAUUAAAGGAGUUAGAAUUACUUACAGAUCGCCACAUGUCAUCAUGCAAAAGUAUUCACUGUGCAUGCACGCAGAUCUUUCGAUUUCAAUAUUAAACUUUUAAUGUAUGAAAAAAGUAUUAAUUAUUAUAUUAAGAGGUAUUAAUUAUGACAAGAUAGGGCAUUAAAUAAAUAUCCAUUCUACUUACAAAUUGUACUCUAUACCCAAUCUACUCUCUAUCCAUUCACAUUUUUCUCUUUCUAAACCUCCACCACAUGCAUUUUCGUCCUCCCUAACAACUUCAACCUCCUUUUUCUCUUCCCCCCUUCCUCUCUCCCCACCCCACCUGCCUCUCUCUCUACAUGGACUGACGUCAAAAUUCUCUCGCUCUCUCUCUCCCCUAUCCCCUCUCUCAUGUGGCUUUGUAUGAUUCUGUGCACUCCUCACCUAUUCCGCACGCAGGAGAGAUGUAUCAUUAAUUUUGACAGAAGUUAGCAUAUUUGCUCCUUUUUUUCCUCUUUGCUUUGCUCUUCUACAUUCACUGGAACAAAAGUUCGUGAUUCACACCCCUCUGUUUCUCUUCGCUUUGCUCUUCUGUGUUUGCUGGAAAUCUUUUUGACGCUUACUAGAACUAGAGGUGCUGACAAUUAUUUUUUUUUUUUCCAGUUUUCUUUGGUACAAGAAAAUAGACAUUUUGUGGCAAACCUAAUGGCCACAAAAACAAACAAAUUCGCCACAAAAGGUCUUUUGUGGCCACAUUAGUUUCACCGCAGCUUUGCCGCAAUAGGACCACUACAAAAGGUUAUUAUGUCCAAAACAAAUAUUUGCCACAAAAUGUUCUAUGAAUUUGCGGCGAUAUAUUUCGCCACAAAACUUCUAACAUCCGCCAAAUCAGUUACCAUAUGGCUAAAGAUAUUGACGAAAAUAAUAAUAAAAUACCAAACUUUUUGUGUGAAAAUUUUUUUUGGCCACAAAUAGCAUCAUAUGAUUUAUGGCAAAUUUUUACACUACUACAGAUAUAGUUGAAUUUAUAUAUUGUGACAAAAUUUAUUUGUCGGCCACACAUAAUGCCACACAUUUUGGGGCAAAAUUUAAAUCGGCCACAAUUUGGGUUGAAAUUAUAGAGGUGAAAUUAAGUAGUUGGCAAUAAAUAGUGUCGUACUUAUUAUGGCAAAAUUAUAUAUGGCUACAAAUAAUAUUAUACUUUCUAUAGCAAAAUUUGGUUUUGGCCAUAAAUAAUUCACUAUAUUUUGUGAACAAAUGUUGUUUCGGUCACUGUUUCAAUAUAUAUAUAUAUAUAUAUAUAUAACAUACAUAUUGCGGUUGUUCAUUAUUUUGUCAUAGAAAGUAUAAUAUUAUAUUCGUGAGUAGACAUUUUAGCUCUUAAAUUUUUUUUUUUAGAGAUUAUCACCGUAUCACAAGAACUGAAUACUACUCAACCAGAAUUUAAACAUAAUAUCAAUCACAACAUUCAAGAUAUAUUCGCCAUAAUACAAAAGGCGAUUAUAUGUUCAAGUGCCACAACCAAAAUAAGGUAACAGUUAAUUGUUUACAUCAAGUAUAAUUUGUACCAAACCACAUAAGUUUUUCAAUCUCAUCAAAAUCACAUCUCAUAUUAGUAACUUUUUAGAAUAAUGAUAAUAAAAACUCUAAGUUAAGAGCGAAAAGAAGUGCUUGAGAUGAUCCAACUCGAAAAUAUUGAGCAUCUAAGGCUUAGUCCUGUAGAAUAAAAAAGAAUAGUGAUAAGAAUAGUGCAUAUUAUCUAUUUACUUCAUCAACAAGUAAAAGAUAUUGCUAAUUUAUACCUCACGCAUACUAAAUUAAAUAUAGUGUAAGCUGAAAUAUUUAAUCUUAAUUCAUUUCACUUAUUUUAAUUGAAUUUAUACUAACUUACAUUUCCUGUCGACGCUGGCUGAAUAGGCAUAGGCAAUCUUAUUUGUGAAAGCUAUUCCAUCAUGCUACGCAUUCUGAGAAUGCAUCUCAGCACGCAUCUGUGCUUGCAUUUCAGCAAUUCGUGCCUCAGCUUCUCUCUCCCUUUGGCUCAUCCGCUUCUCCACCUCAACUUGAAUUCAUGUUGCCAUUUCUUGUUCCAUCUCUGCUCAUAAUUGUGCACGAAUUCUUUGUCCUCUAGGACCACCACUUUUCAAAGGAAUAGGACCUCGACCCAUACCACGAAUGUAGUUAGAUCGAUGACUAAUUGCUAAUGUAUAUGCUUGCCCAUAGAGAGAGUGUAUUUUCCGUACUGUUUUAAUUGGUCAUCAUGAAGUUCUUCCAUCCGCUUAUAUGCAUCUUCAACAUCUUUAUCAAUCCAAUUGCCUUCUCUCUUCCUCACCUUUUCCUAUAGCCUUAUAUAUUCAAACUUUUCUUCUCUCUCUGGUAUUUUCUCCCGUGUUAAGUUUUCUGUAGGAUUCCUCUGUUAAGUCACAUAGAAGAUAUUUUAGAUAAUAAUUAAAAUUCAAAAAUAAGAAUGAGAGAUUAUCUCCAAUGUAAAAUUAAUAAGCUAUUAGAUAAAAAGAAGAAAUUACCAUAUGAUGUAUGUUUCUAGCAAUCGACAUUGUACCCAUACGAGCAACCAUAGUUUGCUUGACUCUGUUUGCUUGGUUUGCCUUACUAAUACGCUAUCAAUUAAAAAAAAUAGUUUAGUAAAUCAUAUUUAUAUAUGUAAUAAAAAUUUUUAGAAAAGACUAAAAAUCUAUCUUAUUUUAAAUUUUGGAUCGUUCCAAUAGUUAAUAAGCCAUUCCAAUCCUCUUGAUCAAUGUCCUCUGGGCAAUGAGCUCGUCUUUGUUCAUCUGUUUUAUACCUUUUUGUAAUGAAAUUUAUACAAGUGAUAACGCCAUGCAUUGAAGUGAUCAUGAACUUGUUAAAGAAAUCACUUUAUGGCUUAAAGCAAUCUUCUCGGCAAUAGUACAAGCGGUUCGACUCUUUCAUGAUAGGUCAUGGAUAUUCUAGAAGCAAGCAUGACAGUUGUGUGUACUUCAGAAAGCUUGAUAAUGGAUUUUUCAUAUAUUUGUUGCUCUAUGUCAAUGAUAUGUUAAUUGCUUCCAGUGUCGACAUAGUUGAGAUAAAUAAAUUGAAAACUUUACUUAAGAAAGCUUGAUAAUGGAUUUUUCAUAUAUUUGUUGCUCUAUGUCAAUGAUAUGUUAAUUGCUUCCAGUGUCGACAUAGUUGAGAUAAAUAAAUUGAAAACUUUACUUAAGAGUGAGUUUGAGAUGAAGAUCUAGAUACUGCUAAGAAAAUCCUUGGUAUAAAAAUUAAGAGGGACAACAAGUUAGGGCUACUGCAUUUGACAUAGGAGAAAUAUAUGGAGAAAAUUUUAAAGCGUUUUAGGAUGACAGAUUCAAAACCGGUGAGCGCUCCUUUUGUGGCGCAUUUUAGACUUUCCGCCCAGUUAUCACCACAAUCAGAUGAUGAGCCGAAGUACAUGUCACAUAUUUUCUAUUCUAGUGUUGUCAGGAGCAUAAUAUACACUAUGAUUUGCACACGGCCAGACAUCUCCUACGCAGUGAGCAUGGUUAGCAAAUAUAUGACUAAUCUUGGUAAGGCUCAUUUGCAGGUUGUUAAGUAGAUUUUGAGAUACUUACGAGGUACCACUAGCACUUGUUUGGAGUUUGGGAGGUGUAAGGAUCGAUGGUGUGGUUGGAUAUGUUGAUUUAUAUUUUGCAGAGAUUUGGACAGGAAAAAAUCACUUUCAGGUUAUGUAUUCUCCAUUGGUGGAUGUGCAGUUAGUUGGAAAGCUUCACUACAACCUAUUGUCGCCUUGUCUACGACUGAGCGGAAUAUAUUGCUAUAACAAAGGGUGUGAAGGAAGCUAUGUGGUUAAGAGGCUUAUUUGGAGAGCUUACUUCUUGUCGGGAUCCGACGAUUGUUUUUUCAGACAGUCAAAGUGUUAUUCAUUUGUCUAAGGAUCAGAUGUUUCAUGAGAGGACAAAGCACAUCAAUGUAAAGUUUCAAUUUGUUCGGGAUGUGAUUGGGAAGCGCAUAGUGUGUUACGCCCCGUGCCCCGCCUAUUUGGUCGGGUUCGGGCACGCCAACAGACCGUCGAACGGACAGAGUUUCCCCUGUACGUUCUAGGCGUCGCAAUCAAUACAAUGUACGAGGUUCCAACUAGGAACAAUAUUCAAGCAGAGAUUGCAUAAGGAAGUAUCAAAAACACAAACAACUAGCUAUUACAAGCAUUCACCAGCUUACAUUUUUACAUCACAGUUUCUUUUACAUUCAACUUCCAAAUUACAAUCUAGUUAUUACAAUUAUUACAAGUUUGAUACAUUUGCAUUCUUUUCACUGUCUAUACCCCUAGCUAGCCGAUUGGGGUACUUCUAUCUCUGGUCUCUGGGGUAGGGCGCUAACUACGGAGCUACGCCCUUUCCUCGCGCCGCCGCGCCGCUCACGUGUGUACCUGUAACACCCCAAAACAACAUGGGGUGAGAACCAAGUCCAUGAUUCCCAGUGGGUACGGCCACCCAAGGGAAAAGCUCAACCAAUAGGUCUAACGAGGCACUGCAACAAGUUAGUCCAAAAAUAUACAACAGAUAUUUAUACAUAUACUCGAUAUUGAACUACAUGUCAUGCCUCACAAUAUGCAAUAUGAAAUCAUGCAACUAUCAAGGUAGAUUAAUUAAUUCUACUCAUAAUUCUUAGCCAUUCAUUGUUCUUUGCUAAUCUUUAUUCUUAGCACUCUUUACUAUUUGCUAUUCUUUAUCAUUAGCCGAUCUCUAUCCUUUAUUCUCUAUUCUUUAUCCUCUACUAACAGUACUCAUACCAUGGUCAUAUUAUACACAAUUGCCACUCUCUCCUAAGGUUACUUUACCUCAGCCAACUAUGCCACUCGACUCGGUCUUGAGUCAAUCAACUGCGGAUAAUCCGCGCUCAGUCAAGCUCGAGGCGAAGGACGUCUCACAUGCACCUCAGCCUUAAAUCCUCUCGACUAUAGGUCUACUCACAGGGUGAGGAUAUCUCUCGAACCUCGGACCACAAGUCGCUCAAUGGACCUACGGGCGAGGAGAACCACACGUACCCGUGUCCCCAAACUUAUACUCAAACCGGGCGAGGAGAACCACACAUACCCGAUGAGUCACUGCCAGGCGAGGAGAACCACACGUACCUACAGUUGCGAUUCACUUGCGCUCAGACGUAAGGCUCAUCCGCUGCACUAGCAGCCGCUGCACUAGCAGCACUCAUUCCUAGGGAUUCCAGAAUCCACAUUCAUAACUCUAGGGUUGGUCUUAAACCCUAUAAUGUUGACCUAUCUAGGUCCCAAUGUCCUUUCCAUCCUAGGUCUACUUGACUCUAGGUUCAUUAUCUUUAUCUCACAACCUAGGUUUACUUUUAACUCUAGGUUCAACCCUCACCUAUGUUCUCUAACAUUAGGUUUGAUGCCACUCUUGUUCGACCUAUGUUUAUUAACACUAGGUAUCAUUCUUGUUCAACCUAGGUUCACGACUCUAGGUUCAAUGCCACUCGACCUAUGUGUAUAUGUAUAUGUCCACAAGUACAUAUCCUUUACUCAGCAUUUUUGCAUUAGCAUCUCUACAACAUGCUUAUCAUACAUUUUCUUUAGCAUUCUUAUUUCAUAUCAAUAUGCAUUCACUUAGCAUUCCUAUAUUAGCAUUUCUAUACAUGCAACAUGACUAAAAUAUGUCAUUUACUUUAUGCUUUCCACUUAGCAUUAUUUACACUAUGUCACUAUGCAUUACUUAGCAUUCUCACAUUAUUUGGUAGCCUAACAUAGCAUUUCACCUUAUGCAUUUAUGUGUUCUACCACUAGCUAUCAUUACAUGCAUCAAUAGUAAGCACUAAUCUUAGACAUACAGGCGACCUAGUUGCUUUGGUAAACACAACCCACCUCAAAACAUGUUCUGAUUGCUUGUAGUUGCUUGCAAUUGGCCUCCCGCGGCACCCGUGACUCGGUUUGGCCCGAACUCUUGCGCGACCACCCGAACGGCCACCAAUCUCAAAUCCGGAAAUUGUUCGAUACUUAUCUUGAUACCAAGUUGCUCCGGAUCCGUUUUCGUGAUUUUUGGACGCUUAUUCCGCAUGCUGCGGCUAUCUGUACCAAAAUCGACCUUUUCGACAAUAACUCGCGUAGGCUUUUCGUUUCACCGAACCGAGCGAACCAACGUGUCGGAAAUACCCCCAAUUAGGUUUCCAAGAGGUCAAUUUACCUCGGAAACACUCGAAGGCAAAAGCCCCAAAUUUGGUGCCCUAAUAAUGCUAUAAUCAAACCUCUUCGGAUUGAUCUUUAGAACAAGCAAAAGAGGGCUUGUUCAACAUCUAGAAACUCAUCUAGAAGUAUUCGAACCAUUCUUAGGGUGUUUAGAGCAAACCCUAGAGUUUCGCCAUUAGAGCACUACGAAGAAAACAUGGCUUUCAUGUGUUCUUCGGCUACUACAAGGUUCUAAAGCUUGCAAGGAGAUCAAAUCUCUAGAUCUAGGGUUUAAAAACCAAACCCUAACCUUAAUCUUAUAAGAAACCAUUAUCACUUCAAGAAUCUUACCUUCCAAGCUCCUUCAAUGGCCCAAGAAGAAGAUGGAAGCGAUGAAGAUCUCCCUCCAAGCUCCUUCUCCUUCCUUUCCUUCUCUUUUCUUCUUUUUUCUUCUUUCUCUUUUCCUUCUCCUUUGCUCAUGGUUGAGAAAGGGAGAGAGACACGAGAGAGGGAGAGAGAUGGCUGCUGCAGUGAAAGGAGGGGUUGGGGUGUUUUUAUAUAUUGCAAUAAUAGCAACAAAGCCCCCCAAACAAUCAUAUUUGCAAUAGAUCAAUUCUGUGCUGUUCUGCCAAAGUGUACCGGUACACUUUCCCGUGUCACCGGUUCCACGACCACGCAGCGGCAAACCCGAGAGCAGAUCUCUCAUUUUCACCCGAAAUGUACCGGUACACUUUGAUGUGUCAUCGGUUUCACAUGCUGAAACCGGUGACAGGUCGCUUGCUGUACCGGUACACUUGCUCCAGACUUGGGUUUUGACUUCGACUCGACUCUAUUUCGCUCCGGUCGAUGCUAGAACCUUUCUAACACUUUUAGAACUCACUUUUAACUCUUCCAAGCUAACAUACACCGCAACUUCAUAACUUUAGAAGUUCGGUAUGUUACAUAGUGACUAUUAGGAAAAUUGGUACUGAGGACAAUCCAGCAGAUACGCUGAGUAAGCUCUUACUAUUGCUAAGUUCAAGCAUUGUUUGGACUUAAUAGUGGUUGGCAGCACUUGAGGCCCUAUGGGGCGUUUGGAGAAGAUGGAGCACAGAGCAGUCACGAGCAUUAAGAACCAUUGAGAAAAAGAAAAUUUAAGUCAAGGUGGAGUUUUAUGACGAUCUCGACAUAGCGACUAAACUAUAAAUUAAACUAAGAUCAUGAUUAUUAAAUUUGGUUUAAAUUUGUAGUUAUAUAAUUUAGAUUUAAUUUGGUUAGAUUAUGAGUAGGAGUCUAAUUCUAAUUGAAUUCGAAUUAGACUUGUAUUUAGAAGUCCAAUUAGAUUAGAGUUCUAAUUAGAUACAAUAUUAACAAGUAAUGUUGUUAUAUUUUUGUAUUGUAGCAUGUUGGAUGUAACCUCUCCUUAUGCAAAUUCUUCUACAUCUCCAGAAUAUACAGUCUCAACACCACCAACGUAAAAAAUCUUCAAGUAAUUCUAUUUGCAAAUUCUACCAUCUCACAAUUAGAUUCUUUUCUUCUUUUUUUUUUGCCUUUCGUUCAUGCAAACUAAUGUUUAUUCAUUUUCCUUUUCUUUGUUUCCAUGAAGCAGCAAUCCCACAAGCACAAAUUAGCAAUUUGUACAUAUACAGUUCUAAACUGAAGGGAUACAGAACUAAGUGUGCUUUUCGUAUCAAUGUAGAAUUUUAUAUAUGUACAAGAAUAUGAAUCUACACAGCUACAAACUAUCUUUUUGAGUGCUUUUUGUUACUGGCACUUUGUAUAUGUAUAGGGACAUAAAUCUAUACAACCGCAAACUAUGGUUUUGAUCUCCUUCUUUUGACAAACUACUUUUUACACAUAAUUCUUUCUUUCUCCUUUCAGGCAAAAGUGUUUCUUAUUUUAAUAAAAUUAUCUAAUAUUUAGCUAAAAUAUACAAUUGUGUUGUACAUUAAGUGCUAUUAAUUAAAUUUAACUUACGCAGCAAUGCGCGGGUCUUUUAUUAGUAUAUACUAUGUUUCAACUUUCCCCAGCUCUUGCCUAGCACUUAUUUAUUUAUUUUCACUAAAAUUACAACAACCUGUUCAAUUCUCAUGUGUUGUGUUUAUUCAUUGUCCAAGUCAAAACUCUUUUUGACUACAGUGCAACACAAAGUAAAUAUUAGUGUAGAUAGAUAAAGCCACAUAGAUAAUAGAAAUAGUAGAAUAAUAGGUCGCAACAAUCACGAAAGAGGACUCCAUUUAUGGCAUAUAUAACAUCUAUCAUUUGUCCUUGCCCCAGCAAGUUGCCAAUUAUAUACAUUCCGAUUUCCCUGUCUGCCCACAUCUUUUCAUAAAAUUUUAUGUGUGACACUAAAUAUGCCUCCUUGAAGGUACUUAGUUAUCAAGUUGUAAGAGAACAUACACAUACUUAAUUCUGACCCUUCAUCUUCUAUAAAAGCCAUUAGAAGAGAUAGCUCCUCCACAACCACUACCCAGUGAAAAAAAAAAAAAAAAAAAAAAAAAAAAAAAAAACUCAUCCAACUUCUAAUUUUCUGUCUCUGUCAUUUUCCUUGGUAAAAUAUCUUUAUGCAGACCAGCAAUAUCAUCAGAAUCUCUAAAAGAUUGGACUACCUGAGAUGAUACCUUUUUCUGCACAUAAUUUGUCAGAAGCACCCAAAUUGGUUGGUUUAGAUGGUUGCUGAAUAACAUGCACAUCUGUUGCUGUAGACCAACCACUCUCAUUUGCCGCAAAGUUUCUAUUUAGGAGCAUUCCAUAUCAUGAUAAAGAAGUUGAAUAAGUAUAAGAAUCUUUUUCGGUUUAUUAGUCAAUCACUUAUAGAAAGAGAAACAGAUCAUCCAUGUACUGAUUAAAGCUUGAUUUCAAAUGAACUAUAAAAAUGCCUUACAAAUGCCGAUAAUCAAAAAACCAUUUGAUUAGUCGAUUGUAUCAAGGUUAUUUGGCAUGGAGAAGAUGAUCUCUGUGUGAACAUGAAAGAAUCAAGCAAAAUUUUCCUGUUUUCGAUGAAUUCUAGGGAUCGAGCAAAAUUCAGAGACUUAAAUGAGCGGUAAAAGAAUUUAUUCCUAAACAUAGCCACACAGCAAUUUAUUGCUAGGAAAAUGGAUGACAGAAAGAGAGAGCUUACUGCAGAGGACGAGAAGCCCAGAGGGAGCUGAGGGCUCGAAGGCGGCUGUAAUACUCUCCAAUCGCUAGGAAGCAUCUAGCUGCCUGUUGUGUAGUUAAAAUGUGGCGAAUUUGAUGUAAAGUCUGUUGCCUCAAAUUGUCAGCCUGCAUAAUCACAAGCUCAUUGAUUUUAUGUAGCCAAAAUUGAACGGCGUUUUGCUGUAAAGAAAGUGUAAUUCUUUGUAGCUUUACACAUGUCCUAAUGAAAGAUGGAGUGAUUCAUAGGUGAAACCAUCAGUUCUUGUGUUGGCUCUCAAGCAGAGAAACAUCCUCUUUGACUUUGAAGAAGGAAAUAGGGAAAACAUAAAAAUUAAGCAUAUCUGGAAACACUUAUGAGGAAGGAAGUUAGUGAAGAAGAUUUCAAACACAUUGUAGUCUUCUGCACAAGAUUUCGACUCUUCCAAGGUAAUCUAUACAGAUUUUAAAUGGUUCGCAUGUUCUUGUAACAUAAUGUCAUUGUCUUGUAGUUUAUUUUGGAUCUAAUAGUUGCUAACAAUUCUCCAAAACUUUUUUUUCUGCUUAAGUUACAACAUAGUUGAAUGUCCUAGCCUAUAUCGCACCAUCUCCUUUAUUCCCCUACUGUUUAUUUUAAGAGCCAUAAAGACUUGAUCUAACCUACGAUUCUUCAAUCGAAUUGUUCCGAUUGUUGUAUGGCACGGAACAUGGUAAUAAAAGUGCAGUCUUUAUAGGAUGGAAUAAGUAUAUAUGCAGGAAAGAAAUAAAAAUAAAUCUUACUUGAAUUGAACAGAAUGAGGUAUGACCAAAAACCCCGUAAAACAGCUUCCUCAGAAAAACUCAAAAUGCAUUUGCAGUGAUGCCGCAAUUAUAUGUUUAGACUACAGCGAACUAAUCAUCCGUCUGUCAUGCUCGAAGAUUAAUAAUUUGCUUACGAUCCUACCUAAUGCAAGCAUCCUUUUGUCUUAUCCUUUCGCUUCAAAUUUAACCGAGCAUGGCGAUUGAUAAUAGCUUCAAUAGUUAGCGGACUCGUUUAGAAUUUAGUACAUUUCCUCUUUUAUAACUUUUGAAUUCUUCAAAUUUCUUUUCAGAUUUUCUGAAUCUACAAGAUACUGCAUUAGAAUAUGCUUCUAUCAUAUGAAACAAUACAUGUAAAAUUAUGCUUAAUCAUGACUAUGGAAAGAAAAAAGACGAGGACCUGGCGGAUGAAGACUUCGAGGUUGGCAAGUUUGUCAAGUGCUACGGCCGUGUAGUCCAUGUAGCUUAAUGUGCCGUCAUUGGCAGGGAGGCCGGUCGCAACUGUAUCAGCCAACGAAUGGUGGAGCUGUUCGAAGCCCUGCAAGAGCGCUUCCUCUGCCUGCUGCGACGACUGCUGGAGGCUGCAUAUCCCCAUCAGCUGCUGCUCCGUCAGCGGAUCCAGAUGAGGCAUCAGAAUCUAUUAAAAAUUUGUUCAGAGCUGUAGGUAUGAGUUGUGCAAAAUCAACUUCAUUAACUGAAGUACUACAACCCAAUAUGCAAAGUCCAACCUCCCAAGUACUAUAAUUUCAGGAACAAAGACUAUGCUAGUAUUAGUCCGGACUUCGUAUAGGCUAAAUCUACAGGUGAUCUUAACAUUUGUUUAAUGCAUUCACGGUUGCUUUGGUGUUAAAUUUGCGAGUUUCUACGGCAUAUAUGUAGUGUGAAAAAUAACUCAUUUAUCUAGAAGCUUAAUAGUUAUAUUCGACCCUCUUUUUCAUGUUGGGGCUCAGAAGUCGCGACUUCUAAGAGGUCCCAAGAGGCCAACUCCAAUACCUCACUGAUGCAAGCAGGAUAAAAGUAGGAUGCAAAUAUUGUAGUGCAGGAAAAGAAAAGAGAAGGUGUAAAGGAAGAAAAAAAAAAAGAAGAAAAAGAGGAAUAAGCCGCACAUGCUAGACACAGACCACACAGGCACUAAAAAAAUUCACACAUAAAUAAAAUAAAUUUUUAUUAACCGAAACUCUCUUUUUCUACAAUAGAUAUCAACCCUAAUUAUAAUAAAUCAAAUCUAAUCUAAUUAAAUAAUGCUCACCAUGAUUAGAUCUUUUUCUAAUCCAAAAUAUCUAAAAGAAUUCUACACUAUAUCUUUAAUUUUUAGAAAUUUAUUCUAUAUGAAAAAUCUAAAAAAAACCAAAAAACUAUAAAAUAUAAAAUAAAAUAAAUAACAAUAAUAAUAAUUCGAAUUUUUUUUUAAAAAAAUGCUAAUUAAUUCUUUUUGUUUUUUUUGUUUAGUCACAUCACUCGGGAAACAAACCAAUUUCUCAAAAAAAGUUAAACAUAUUGCAAUGUUGGUCAAGAAGAAUAAGAGAGCGAAAUUUGAGACCUUGAUUAGCUCAGAUGGCCGGAAUCCACCCAUCCACAAGAAGCACCUCUCUGCGGGGGUAGUCCACGUCCCUAUCAACAGGUGGAAUGCAUCACACUUAGCAGCUACUGCUCUGAGGCGGAAGAGCUCGUCGUGGUGAGCCAAGCAUUCGUCUAUAAUGAGCCCGAGAUUGCCGUCGAGAAGGCGAGCCUGCAGGCCAGCCCGCAGAGCUGAUAAAUGCUUCCCAUUGUCGUCCAACCAUCGGUUAUAUUCUAUGUCAAACACUGCUGCUGCACCUGUAAGCAGUACAUUUCCUUCCUUAGCAAUUAAUCAACGUUCAAUUUAGCUGUAGAAUGAUAUUACUAGCACCAACUUAAUUACCUGAAUUGAUGUCUCCAGGUGCAAUGCAUCCUCCUAGAAAUAGACCCUUAACACCAAAGCAGAUUGAGAUUUGAAAAUAAAACUUCUUAAAACAAUAUAUAUAUAUAUAUAUAUAUAUAUAUAUAUAUAUAUAUAUAAUUGAGCUUCUAUGCUUUUAAAAGUACCAAGUCAUUGAUACUUGUAAGUUUUUAGCCCUUGGAUUAAGGGAUGUGCGGUUAAGAUGAUGUGAGUCCCCUAGGGUUGAGUGGAUGGUUGGUUUAAAAGUACCAAGUCAUUGAUGCUUUUAAGUUUUUAGCCCUUGGAUUAAGAAAUGUGCGGUUAAGAUGAUGUGGGCCCCCUAGGGUUGAGUGGAUGGUUGGUUGAAUAGUAUAAUCUAAUAUGUGAAAAUAAUCAAAGGCGUAGAUCUAACGGUAAAAAAUUUACAAGCACCAAAUACUUGGUACUUUUACAGACACCAUAGCCGAACUAUAUAUAUAUAUAUAUAUAUAUAUAUAUAUAUAUAUAUAUAUAUAUAUAUAUAUAUAUAUAUAUGGAUUGAGGUUUGUUUAUUUGAACCUGCGAUUGCGAUCUUUGGAGUUCUUGCUCUAGUUGUUGAAGCCUAAUUCUGCUGGACUCUAGCUGCUGCACAUAAGCCUGUGGAUGUCCAAAGGAAAUUAAGUCAAGCAGAUCAGAUCACUUCGAUGUAGCCCUAGUCGACGCGAAUAACAUAUGUUACAUAUUGCACCUUCUUUCUUAGCCUGCUCUUCCUUGCUGCCUCUCUGUUUUGUGCUAAGCGCCUCAACGUCUGAUGAUUAGUAUUACUAACUUUAUUUAAUCUAGAAGAAAUUAGUGAGAGAAAAAAAAAUAAAAGGAAAAACAAAUAACAAAUUAUGCCAAAUUUCUAAUGGUUUUAAUUCUUUUUUUCCACUUAGGAAAGAACCGCCAUGUCCAUUGUGGUAAUUUAAAUAUACCUAUUGAUGUGGGCAUGAGAGAGAGAGAGAGAGAGAGAGAGAGAGAGAGAGAGAGGAGAAAGACCUUGGCGUCUAAUAAAUUGCCCUCUUUUCUCAUUGAACCAGUUAUCUUCCUCUGUGUGCCAUAACACAAGUCAGAAAAUAUAUCUUGUUUCUAAAUAACUUCUGUUGGAAGAACAUAGAAUAAAGCAGGAGAACAUGACGCAGAUUUGAGGAGUCAGUAGUGAAUAUAAUUUCAAGAAUGCGACAAACAAAAAGAACAGCAUGUACCAAGAGGACUUCAACAAAAUUGACAAUCUUAUACCUACUGAUUUGAACUUCAAUCGCCCAAAAUAUACGCCGUGUCGCCUAAAGAAAAACCUUCAGAUUUGGUGAAAAGUUUGUAAAAGAAAAAAGUUAUAGGUGCAGAUACAUGUAAUCUAUUAACCUUGCUAGUCUCUUUCUAUAUUAAAGUGAAACAAUUGGAGAAUUACUUGCCAUCCAAAAGAUUAAUAUAAUAGGUGAAGCCCACGAAUAGUCAUAGUACAAACAACUUAAGAGGUUGCAACAUAGCUUCUCCUGUUUACUUCAAAUCAGUGAUAAUAUCCUGGUAGUGACUUAAUCAUUCUAUCUACCAAGGAGGAUUUGGUAAUUGGAUUAAAGAAGUGAAGAAGUAACAAAUAAACUACCUUUUCUUGAGCUCCAAGCUUGUUGUUCUGAGCUGCUCCAAUCACUGAUGCAUCAUUUGCCAUCAGGAUAUUCUUCUGCUUCUUCUCCGAAGUCUGUUCCGACGAGUCCUGGUUUCUGCUUAACGGUGACUCUGAUUCCACCUCGGAUGCUGUGUUCUUACCUGCUGAGCCUAAAUCCCCCUAUUUUCAAUAAAGAAAGAAUCAUCAAGACCCAAUCUCCUCUAGUGUUUUACUGCUCUUCUCUAUGUAUAAAAAAAACAACAAAAAAUAAAAAAUAAAAUAAAAUUCCAAGUCAAAAGGGCAUGCAGGACCUUACUCCAUGUAUUUGCUGAUAUCUCAUUGACCAUGAAGGGAAGAUCUCAAGGGUGGGGAGUAUAUUUGUGUCUGCAAAGUGAAAACAUGCGUAGGAUCAAUAACUGUUCCCUCUACUGAAAGAAAUAGUACCCAGGAGUUUGCUUUUGCUUGUUUCCAGAAAGGAACUGGUACUCUCGUAGCCCUCUUCGCAUUCAAUCCACAACGUGUGGGAGAAAACAAGUAAUCCGAUCCGAUUUUAGUUUCUGGAUACGAUAGCAAUCCGGUUUGUAAGUUUUCGCUACUCUCUAAUUCCAACAGUUUUGAAGGUGUGGAUAGUGGAACACCCGAAUAAGAAUGAGGAAGGCAUGGGAUUUUCUAAGAUUGGGGGGUCACACCAAUUUGGUUUCUGAGUUGCAUGCCAUCAUUGUUGUGGAAAGGGCAAAGCCAGUAAUGCCUGUAUGGAAGCAUUUCUGGUAGGUAGUUAAGGUUGCAGAAAAAGUCACCACCAGGAAGGAGAGAGAGAGAGAGAGAGAGAGAAAGAGAGAGAGAGAAUGCCUACACUUUGUGUCCCCAUCACCUUCGACGCCGUCAACUCGCUGCAUGAGUGCCUCUUCCAACUCUCCAAAGUAAGCAGCUCCAUGUUGCUGAUCAUUGAUCGAGUAGCCGAAGCCCAUAUCACUACCAUGUAAGCGAGUUCGUAAUACUUUUUUAAGUAAAGGAACGAGGGCGAAGAUGAUGUGGAUAGAUAAGAAGAAAGAGUAAAAGGGAACUCAACAAUGGAUUAGGCUCAAGCAUUAUGAAGUUGGUGGUGGAGAGGUGUAAUCCAAUUGGAGGGUUGAGGAUUUAUGUAUGGUGUAGGUUGUUAUAUAUAAAGGUUAAAAGGGAGGGGGAAAGCAGUAGCAGCACAAAAUAAAGAAGCCACUAAGCGAUUUAAAAUUAGUGCAUGGAGAGAUGUAGAAAGAAUAAAUAAAUAAAUAAAUAAGAAGGAAAGCUUUGCCAAGAUUCAUAUGGCCAUAGCCUCAUUUUGUUCCUAAACCAAUUAGAGGUUCCAAAAUAUGCAAGAAGGAAGGAAAGAAAGAGUACACUGACUUGAUAGAGGGAAAUAUAUAUGUAGAUAGAGGAGAUAAGAUAUAGAGUACCAAGCACUUGGUACUUGUAAAUUUUUUACCUUUUAGAUCUACACUUUUGAUUAUUUUUAUUCGUUAGAUUAUACUAUUCAACCAACCAACCACCCACUCAAUCUUAAAAAACCCACAUCAUUCUAACUGCACAUUUCUUAAUCCAAUGACAAAAAAUCUAAAAGCACCAACAACUUGAUACUUUUAAAAACAUAGGAGCACAAUUCUAUAUGUAUAUGCAGCUCAGUUAUUAUAGAAUUUAGAAGUGCUCCUCUAUGUGUAUAGAUAAACUGGAGCAGUAAUAGAAGAAGAAGGUUCUAAGAUUGAUACUUAUAUUGGGCUGUUCUUCUUCUGUUACUCUCGCUUUUCCUUGUUUCUUUCACUAUACCUGUCUCCCUCUCUUAAAUAGGGUAUAUUCCUGUUUAAUCAAAAAAAAGAUUGAUACUUGUAUUGAUCUGGCUACUGCAAUCCUCAAUAUUUGAGGGAGAUAGCCAGAUAGGACAACCAUUGGAUGGGCUAGCUUUGAAAAUAUAAUUACUUUAAUAUAUGAGUGAAAUAGGACAAUCCAUUGUACUUGUAAGAAGAUCUUCUCCUUUAGAGGGAACAUGUCUCAUCUCACAAGUCUUUUUUGCACUGAGAGAGAGAGAGAAUAAUACUGUGUCUCUUUUGGCAGGAUUAUUAGUGACUCCUAUAUACUCCACUCCUUGUAAGAAACUCUUCUCUCUCAUUGGAAAAAUUCUAGAAUACAACAGAGUAUAUAUAUUGGUGACAUAGCGUAAUAAACUAAUCAAAUAUAUUUUUUUAGAAAUAUAUGUCUCAUCAUGAUUGUAAAAAAAUAUUUUUAUUGUACUUUUAUUUGAAAAGAAGAAAUAUGAUUGACUUAUUAUUGAUAACGUAGUGCAAGUGUGACAGUAUAGAAUUCUUCUCAUUGGCACCAUUUUGGGAAAGUACGUGACAAAACUUGCAAUGAAUAUUAGCAUAGAUAAAUUAAAUCCGAUGUCUAUUUAUCUUUUCUAUUUUUUUUUUUUAUACAUAAUAUGACGCCUCGUUGAAUUUUUUUUUACAAAAUAACACUCUAAAAUUUUAUUAUUUAUAAAAUAAUUUUGUCAAAAUUAUAUUUAAAAAAUUAAUCCUCUUUUUGCCGUGUAGAAACUGAAAUUUUCUCUUAAAGACGAUGAAUGGUUCACCGUCUUCAUGAAGACGGUGAACGAUAAUUUCUCACAAAAUUGGUGAAUUAUUCACCAACUUUCACUUAUUUAUUAUUAUUCCUUUCUGUAUCCCAUAUAUAAUCCUAACAAGCAAAUAAAUAUUUCAACAAACUAUAUAUGAUCAUAACAACCUGAAAAUUCUAAUAAUUUAUUCAUAUAAUCCUAACAAUCAAAAAAAAUCUUAAUAAUCUAUCCAUACAAUCUUAAUAAUCAAACAUCACAUAAAUUUUAACAACUUUAAAUUUUAAUAAUCUAUCCAUACAAUUUUAAUAAUAAAAAAAUCCUAAUAAUCUAUCCAUACAAUUCUAACAAUAAAAAAAAUUCAAAUAAUUUAUCAAUACAAUUCUAACAAUCAAACAAAAUUCUUAAUAUUCUACAUACAAUCAUAGCAUCCUCAUUUUUUAUUUUCCGUAUAAUCUACGUACAAUUUUAACAAUCUUAUUUUUUUCUCUUUCCUAUAUCAUGUAAAAAAAAUUUCAUAUAAUCUACGUAUAAUUUUAACAAUUUUAUUUUUUUUCUCUUUCCUAUAUCAUGUAAAAAAACUAUAAAGAAACGGUGAAUCAUUCAUCGUCUUAAUGAAUGUGGUGAAUUCUGCAUAACCCUUACGUGGCGAAGAGAGAGGGUUAGCUUGCCAAAUAUAAAUUUGAUAGAGUUAUUCUGUAAAUUAUAAAAUUUUAAAAGUUAUUUCGUGAACAAAUCCCAACCAGUGGGUGCCCCGCGGCACUCCAUUCGUUUUUUCUUUUUGUAUUUUCUUUUUUUGCGUUUUAUUUUAUUUUUUUUAUAUUAUAUUUUAUUACCCUCUGGGUGAACUUCCAUUUUUUUUUUCUUUUUUCCUUUUUGUACAUCUUAUUUUAUUUUAUUUUUUUCUUUUUUAUGCUACAAUUUAAUCAAACUAUAUUAUUAUGGAUAAACUUCAACUAUCACCCAUAUAGUUUCAUACUUUUUCACUUUAGUACCUUAUGUUUUAAAGUAUAUAAGUUAGUAUCCUAUGAUUUUAUUUUUCUCUUUUUAUUAUUCAUUCCACUAAUUUUUUUAAUUAAAUCAAUUAUAAAAUUAAAACUAAAAGGUACUAAAGUGACUAUUCGAUAAAUCUAGAUGGGGUAUUUGAAGAUUUUUAUAUAUAAUUUAACGAAAUAUUAACGAAGGAUCUGAGAGAAAGAGAAAAAUAAAAUCAUAGAUUACUAACUUAAUAUGCUUUAAACUAUAAAGUACUAAGAUGAAAAAAUAUGAAAUUAUUUGGAUGAUAUUUGAAGUUUACUCUAUUAUAUAUUAAGAAACGCUCAUUACAGUUGAUAUUUAAUUUAAAGUGACAAGCUAGUAUUUAAUAAGUAGAAUAUGUUACCAACCGUCCCUAGAGCAAAUGAAAAAGGGUUUGGUGGUUGGUACCCGAGACCCAAGUUCGAAUCCUAGUUGAUUCACAUUUUUAGCUAAGUUUAUUUCUAAAUGAAAUAAAACGAAGCGGGUAGCGUGCUAUCUAUCUCUAAAAAAAGAAAAAAAAAAAUAAAAUAUGUCAUAUCUAUGCCAAGUCAUUAUUAAUAAUUUGAGCUGAUAUUUGACAGUUAAUUUGAGUUGAUAACUCAAUAUUUAAGAAAUUAUAUCCUAUCUAUACCAGAUCGUUAUUAGUACGAUUAGUAUACAUUAAAAAAAUGCCCAAGAAGUUUUUUUUUUUUGAGAGAAAAUGCCCAAGAAGUUCGGCUCAGUAUACAAAUACGAUAUCCAUGAGUUUCGAUUGGGACUCUUGGCCAACCAGCCUCCGCUACAUAGACAGGAUACUAGCUUAUUUAAACCAACAAUCAUCUUCCGUAACAUGCAAAAAUUUACAAUAUGCAAGAAUCGAAUUUGUAAUUUACUCUAAUAUCACUAGUAAAUCCACUAAUUCGAAAAGCUGUCCAAAAGAGACAACCAAUUCACUUAAAAUAUAGACACAAUAUCCACGUGUCUCAAUUGUAACUCGACCAAACCAAGACUCCGUUAGGUAAGCAAGAUACUAAUCCAUUUAAGCCAACAAACUGCACUACAUUUAUAAGUUGAGCUGGAAUGCUUUUAGAAGUAUGGAAGCCUUCAUACAGUAGAAUCAUUUUUUGUGAUGGAUUUUCGAUUCGGUAAUCAACUUUACUAGACUUAAUCUAGAGUAUUUAAAAUAAUUAGAAUUUAAUUUUUCAAUUUUUUAAUAUCAUUCGUCUAAUGAUUGUAAGUUCUGAUGAAAGUAAACAAUUUUAAUAGUUGGUAUUAGAUGUUUGUAAGCCUACGUGUACAAAAUUAUCGAAAAUCAGGUGCAAGUUUGGUUAAAAAAAAAAAUUGCUACUCAAAAUAAGUUCAGGUCCUCUGAUCCAAAAUUUUACUAUUAUAUCGGUAGUUUUUAUUUCAACCAUUCAUUUUGAGAUCGCUAGAUCAUAAGAUUGUUGAUAUCAAAAAGUUAACUAAACUGGAAUCUUAAUAGAAACUUCAAAUAACCGACCGUCGCUAGAGCAAGUGGCAAAAGACUUGGUGGUUGGUAUCGGAGACCCAAAUUCGAAUCCUAGUUGAUUCUAAUUUCUAGCUAAGUUUAUUUCUAAAUGAAAUAAACGAAGCGGGUAGCGUGCUACCUAUUUCUCAAAAAAAAAAUGCUACUAUAUAAAAUAAUAAAAAAAAAUUAUGCUGGUUAAUUUUUAUAAUAUUUUUCUAUCAUUUUNUUUGAGAGAUAGGUAGUACGCUACCCGCUUCGUUUAUUUUAUUUAGAAAUAAACUUAGCUAGAAAUGUGAAUCAACUACAGAGGACUUGGUAAUUUUAAAAGCAUCCCACUUGAACUCCCAAAUUUAUUAUUUUGCCAUACUUGUAGCCUCUCCAACUAAAUUAGCACAAAUAUAUAAUCACACGAGUAGGUCUUGUAUGCUAUUAGGAGCACGGAGGCCUCCGUGCUCCUAAGCUGUUUUUGAGAUGGGGCUUCCGAAUCGACGAUCGGCUCCGUUAGACUUUAUCUAGCUUAUUUGAAGUAUCUAGAAAAUAAAUUUUGCGAUUUUUCGAUAUCAUUUACCUAGCGAUCGAAAGGGUUCAAAAUCAACGGUUGAAAAUAAAAAUCUCACAAAAAGUAGUGAUAUAGCAUUAAAAUUUUCGAUCAGAGAUAUUGAUCUUGCUGUAAAUAGUAUAAAGAAUUUUCUUGCAAAAUUUCAUCUGAUUUGAAUACUUCUACACCGUUAAACUUGCAAACGCUAUACAUCAACCAUUAAAAAUUAUUGAUUUUGAACCCUUUCGAUCGCUAGGUAAAUGAUACCGAAAAAUCGCAAAAUUUAUUUUCUAGAUAGUUCAAAUAUGUUAGAUCAAGUCUAACGGAUCCGAUCGUCGAUUCGGAAUCGCCAUCAUCGAAAAUGGCUUAGAAGCCUCCGUGCUCCUAAUAGCACACAAGACUAAAUCAUAAUCACACCACUAGUAAACCCACUUGCCUUAGUAGAACUGAAGAACUGAGGGCUUGGAUGGAUUUGUUUGAGAUUGUCCUCUGAUCUGUUCACGGGUCAACAUCUGCAAACUCGCCAAAAUCCCUAAAACCCAGAACAGCUCUCCUUCCUUUUCCAAGUUAAGAAAGAGUAUGUGGGAUGAUGGCCAACCACUAACCAAUUUAGUUUUUCCCGAUUAAAUCCAACUAAAUUUGGUUGAAUCCACUAGUCGUUAUGGGAAAGUUCAAUUAGGCUUUACUAGAUGAUGAAUCUAAAUCCUGGUGAUUUGAACUGGAUCAAUUUGCAAACAUUUUGCAUUUGCUAAUGGAGGACCUCCUUUGCAUGUGUGGAAUGAUUAAUUAGUAGGAUUUGUUUGGAUGCCUAACCAAGUUAUUAUUAAUUGUGUACAAGGAUCACUUUCAGCUUAGACAAUUCAGUUCACUAAAAUUCGCAUAAAACACGCGCUCAAUAAAAAGAAAAUGAGAAGAAAAAAUGCAAUACCAUUCCUUGGGCUUCUUUUUUUUUUCACUGGUCUAAACGCGAAAUAGUCAGCACUAUCAUUCCAAUCAAGCUAAAAUUGGUAGUAAAAUCGGUACGUCACUCGCCAGAGAGUAAGAUGCGAAGUACAUUUUAUGCACAAUUAAACCUGGACCAGACACCAUGCUAAAGACCCGUCGAACUUUUACGAGGAAAUUCAAUGAAGUUACUUCAAUUGAAGGUGCAAGGAUUAAUUAACUGGAAUUUCAGAAGAUGGUGGCUCAGAAAAUUAUACAAUACAUGUUGCCCCCUUUUGUUUGAAGUUACUGUCUCAAUGAGCCGUCAGAAGCCAGAUUUACUAUCACCAUAUUGAAAAGCACCAUAUUUUUUAAUUUGGAUUAGGCGCUGAUACGAUCGCCCAAAAGAGAAAAGAAUUAAUAUCAGGGAAUCAUUCUGGACAAGCUGAUUGUAUGGGCAAAGAAUGUCAAUUAAACAGUAAUAUAAGUGAAGCAUCCAGCCCACCGAAUCAACCCCCACCGACGUAAAUUUUGAACAUAUUAAGAAACUCUUGACUUUUUUGGUUCUCGCAAAAGUCUUCAUAAAUGGGUUCGUAUUUCAUCAACUCAAGAUUCUGCCACGAUUAUUCCAGUACGGUAUUGUUUGGUUCGGGAAUAAACAAAAAGUGGUUAUUUUAGGAUUAGUUAUAAAUUGAGGUAUAAGCGUGAGUUAGAUCAAUUUUGCGUUUUGAUGAAAAUUAGGUUAUUCCUAGGAAGAAAAAAAAUAACGUUUGGUCAGAUAAGAUGGAAUAAGAAGAAUAGUAAAUUUUUAUAAAUAAAAAAUAAUGAUAUUACCCUCUUAUUAUAUUUGAAUUUGAAUUUUUAAAUUUUUAAAUUUAAAAUUUUAGCUUUGAAAUUUUAAAAUUUGAAAUUGAAAUUUUAAAUUUAAAAUCUCAAAUUUUAAAUUAAAAAAAGUUUGUAAGAUCAAAUUUAAAUAUAAAAAAUAUAAAAUAUCAAAUUUUAAAUUUUAAAAAUUUAAAAUAUCAAAUUUAAAAUUUAAAAUUUAAAAUUUAAAAUUUAAAAUUAUAAACUUUAAUUUUGAGAUUAUAAAUUAUAAAUUUUAAAAAUUUUUAAUUUUUUCAAAUAAGAAUAGGGGUGGAAACAAUUAAUAAAAAUAAUUUAUUAUAAUAAAUGUAUAAAUUUUUUUAAAAUUCUACUUAAACUUAAAUUUAAUAAAAAGAAUUUAUUAUAAUAUUUAAANAUUAGAUAAAUAAUAAUAAAUUAUAAAUAGAUUAUUAUUUAAAUAUUUAUUAAAUUAAUAACUUAAAUAAUUAAUUAGUCAAUUAUUAAAAAAAUUAAUUGUAUUAAUUAAUUAUAAUUUAUAAUUUAAUUGGUAGAGGAAUAAAUUAGAGAAUAGCUUGUUCCACCCAAUAGAUGGAACUACUAUUCUCCCCUCUUAACGGGUUAUUCCAGAAUAAGACGUUAACGCGGAAUUAAAUUAACAUGCCAAUUUUGCUUGGUGUUUGGCAAGAAUAGUGGGAUAAAAGGGGUUAUUCUCCUUUUAUUCCCACAACCAAACGGGGCCUUAAGAAUAAGAUUAUGUUAAGACUUAAUUACACGAGUGAAGGCCCGCGCUUCGCAGCGGGAUAUUUAUGCAAAUUUUAAAAUAUUUUGAACAAAUUUUUCUAAUUUUAUAAUUUCUAAAUUUAAUUUUAAAUUUUAAAAUUCAAAAGUUAAACAGAAAGAAAAAUUAAAAAAAAUUAUUUAAAUAUGGAAGGAUAAAAAAAUUUGAAACUUAAAACACAAUUUAUUAUAUGUAUUAUUAAUAAAUUAAUUAAUUAUAUAUUAUAUAACAUUAUUAAUAAAUUUAAUUAAUUAAAUGCUAAUAGUUAAAUUUAAAAUUUAAAUAUAAAAAUAUAAAAUUCAAAAAUUAAAAUUUUAAAAUCUCUCUCUCUCUCCCUCCCUCUCUCUCUCUCCCCCUGUGUCUCUCUUUCUCUCUCUUGCUCUCUCUCCCUCUUUCUCUCUCUUUUUCUCUCUCCCAGCGCCUGUCUUCCUCUCUCUCUUCCCCUCUCUCCCUCAGUCCCUCUUUCCACUCCCCCUCACCCAGUGCUCGCGUCGUGCCCGCGCCCCGCAUGCCCGCGCCGCGCCCCGCCACGGGCGCCCACGCCGCCCGCUCCCUACACCCCCGAGCCACGCCCUGCCCCGCACGCCUGCGCAGCUCGCUCCCCGCACGGCCGCGCCGAGCCCGGCGCUCUGCACCUACCUGCUCCCCGCGCCCGUGCCCGCCCCCUCGCGCCCGUGCCCGCCCGCCCUGUUUGCCGCCUCGUGCUGGCGUCCGCGCCCCGCGCCCGCAGGGAGGCCUUUGGCCCGCGCCCGCGUUAGCGGCGGAGCUUGCCACUGCGCCGGCGCUCGCGGUCAGGUAAAGGAGAGAAGGGAGGAGAGAAAGAGAGAGAGAGAGAGAGACCGGGGGGGAGAGGAAAAGAUGGGAGAUGGGUGGCGGGGGGGAGUGGGUGAGGAGAAGAGGGAGAGAACCGGAGAGGGGGGAGAGGGAGAAGAAAGAGUGGUGAGAGAAGAGGGGGGCCGCGAAUCCCCGGGCACACGGGUCGCGUGCAUGGCGCGGGGCGCGCGCACACGCCUGGCGCGGGUCCCGCGCACAUGGGGGAGAGAGAGAGCCGGAGGGGGGGUGUGGGGAUCCCUGCUCUCUCUCUCUCUCUCUCUCUCUCUCUCUCUCUCUCCAUCUCCUUCUUUCUCUCUCUCGCGCGACCGGACCCCCCAAACGCGGGGAUGUCUGCUCUCUCUCUCUCUCUCUCCCUUCAUCUAUUCUCUCUCUUUCUCUCUCUCUCUCGCGACCGGCCCCCCCAAACGCGGCGCAGGCCCCCCUCUCUCUCUUUUCCUCUCUCUUUCUCUCUUUCUCUCUUCCUCGCGAGCGCGGAAAAACCGCCACGUAGGCCACAAUCUGCUCUCUCUCUCUCCCUCUGCUCUCUCUCUCUCUCUCCCUCUCUCUCCCCCGCGCGUGCUGCGGGCGCGGGUCGCCUGCACGCAGGCCCCCCCCCUCUCUUUCUCUUUCUCUCUCUUUCUCUCUUCCUCUCUUCCCCGCGAGUGCGGAGAAACGGCCACGUCGGCCACAGUAAAACUCUCGAUUCAAUUUAUAUAUAGAUAACCUGGGAUUUACACUGCACUCCAAUCUGCCUAGAUAACGCGAAGCAUACCACAAUAUUGAAUCAUCACUUGUGUCUCAAAAUAAGGAUGAAAGGAACUAGUGACAACUUCACAAAUACUUAUUAGUAAACAACUUUACAACCCACAUUUUACGAGCAUUUAGCAAAGAGUAAACACAAGAGAAAUAAUAUAAGGUUAAAAAAAAAAACCAUAAGAACAUAAGAAUUUACAUAAUUAGGCUAUACCUACAUUCAUGAGAGAAGAAUGCAAAAAAAACAAAAACAAAAAAACUUCCACUAUAAAUGUAAUAAUCGAGGGACUAAAAUGUAACAUCCCUUUCUUUUUUUUUUUGAUAAAAGCAAACCAAUUUCAGUGAAUUUAAUUUCCUUGACUUUUGAGGGCCUCUAGUGCUUGUUGGCGCGUGUCUGUGAGACGUAAUUGUCACCCUACUGCGUUAACAGAAUUUUGGAUUUUCUAAUGGAACUGAGAAAAUUCAAAAAAUGAACCACUCCGUGAUCAAGCCAUUAUUUUUAAUUUUGUGAUUUUUUUCAUAGUUUUUACGAACAAAAAGUCCUAUCGAGAAGUACACUUAGAGACGAACGAAGAUACUGUUGAAAUCUGUAUUCCGAGCGCAAAGUUAUAGGCAUGCAUCUUAAGUUGGCACUUGCGCAAAUUUGGCUGCGAGCUGAAAUAGAAUUGUUGCCGGUGUCCCUCACAAUUGUUGCUCGUGGGAGGGACUUCCGUGCAAAAUUUCUUCAUGGAGGAGCACAUUCGCAACUACGAGGAGGCAAGCGGCCGUCGUGCAAGUGUCGCAACCUCAAUUUCAAUCAACGGAACCCAUUAAAGAAAGUGCCCCCCCUCAAGCAGGAAAAAUUUUAGAAUGCAACAGGUAUAUUAGUGACGUGGCGUAACAAACCAAUCAAAUUAAUCCUUUUAAGAAUAUAUGUCCCAUCAUGAUUGUAAAAAAAUAUUUUUAUUAUACUUUUGUUUGAAAAGAAGGAAUGUGAUUGGCUUGUUAUUGAUGACGUGGUGCAAGUGUGACAAUGUAGAAUUCCUCCUCAAGCAGCUGGUAUGAUCCAC
rnacentral:lncRNA from 1 species